CCUCUUCUUCCGCUUGGUAGAUAGGGGAGUCAAAGUUAUGAGAGGGGGUAAAGUCAUUGGAUUCAACGAGGUUAUCAUUUAUUUUGCAUGUUUGAAUGAUUGAUUUUUUAGAAAAGUGAAAUUAAAAGAUGCACAAAUGAAAAGUUUUUUUGUUUUUGUUUUUUUUUUGAAAAGAUUGCCAUUUUCUUAAGAGAAAGAAAAAUAAAUGAAUAAUAAGAAUUCAACAAAAUGCCUUUCAUUUAUUGAUAAUGAUUAUUUGAAAAUAAAAAGGGGCCCUACAACAUGAUCCAUUAGCCUUGGGCAGAGCUAAG
rnacentral:lncRNA from 1 species